UUGGACUCUUACUUAAUACUUGGAUUGGGAGCCGUCCAAUCCACAUCGAUGCAAAGAAGUCACUCAUUCCACGGAUUCCAAUAGUGAAGUGAAGCCAAUUAAGUUUAAAAUCUUGUGUGCCGUGAUGGUGGGAAGAGUGUUGUAAAAUAUUGAGUGGUUUUCAUAAGAUUUCGAUCUGUGGUGAGAAGUGAGUGAUUGAUACGUUGCCAAUUUAGUGGGGGAUAUUAUUUUGCUUAAGAUGGCAAGAAAGCGACAGGCCGUCGUUUGUGUGCUUCUGGCCAUUUGUCUAAGCGUACAAUUCCACGAGUCGGAAGCAAUUUUUAAGAAAUUAAAGAAAUUAUUUAAAAAGGGUGGUGGUGGCGGAGG